rnacentral:lncRNA from 1 species
CGCGUGGGAGCCGGGAGGCCAGUGGACCAGACUGGCAGAGCCUUCAGAUUAAGUCAAAAUCCUCACCGUGGCUAUCAAAUAACCAAAGCUGGCCUCAGCUUCCCAGAGGAUCAGACAUGGGGAGUUUGAAGGGAACCAUCCUCGGGGCCUGGACUCUCUCCUGAGCUUGUCACUCGCCUGCCAUUUCCCCGGGCAGGUCACAAGACCCCCCACCCCUCCACUCUACAGCCAACGGGCAAAGCCUCCCUGACCUCCAGCCCCAAUCAGAGGGAACUUCCCGGACACAGGUUUCGAGAACCCAUCUAAAGAUUGGGUAAGAAAUGCUUUUGCAAGCCGGUGGUUUCCACUUUGCUGCUUUCUACAAAUUUGAAGAAAGGUCAAACGGACCUGUCUGCUGGGAGAUCAGUGAGAAUCGCUUCCAAUGACAGAUCGCCGUGUGACAUUCGCAUACUACCCAGAAGGAGUAUAAGAAUUCCACUCCCAGUGACUUCCUUAUGAAAACAAGGCUUCUCUGCACUUGCAGGGACAAAGAAUUGAUGGUAAAAAUUGGUUUCAUUCUAGCAAUACGUGACAGUCAUUCACGGAUACAUGAAUUAAUUGGGGGUGGAGAGGAAGUCCCACUCAUCUCAGGACAAGAAGUAUUUCUAAGCAAAUAAAAGCCACAAUGAGAAACCACUACGAAGGGCUGAAGUUUUUUAAAACUGAAAACACCAAGAUGCUGGUGAGGACGCAGAGCUGAUGGGAAUGCAGCCUGGUACAGCGACUGUGAAACUGGCAGUCCCCCAAAAGUGAAACGCAGAGCUCCAGUUUGACUCAGCAGCUCCACUCCGAGGUAUACACCCCAGGGAAAUGAACGUACGCCUUCACACACAAAUCUGUACAUGAACGUUCACAGCAGCUUUGUUCAUAGUUGCUGAUGUGGUUUGGCUGCGUCCCUGCCCAAAUCUCAUCUCGAAUUGUAGUUCCCAUAAUUCCCAUGUUGUGGGAGGGAGCCAGUGGGAGAUCAUUGAAUCAUACGGGCGGUUAACCCCAUACUGUUCUCCUGGUGGUGAGUAAGUCUCACAAGAUCUGAUGGUUUGAUCGGGGGUUUCCCCUUUCACUUGGCUCUCAUUCUCUCUUCUCUGGUCCCAUGUAAGACAUGACUUUGCUUCUCCUUUGCCUUCCACCAUGAUUGUGAGGCCUCCCCAGCCAUAUGAACUGUGAGUUCAUGAAACCUUUUUUCUUUAAAAGUUACCCAGUCUUGGGUAUGUCUUUAUCAGUGGCGUGAAAACCAACUAAUGCAAUUGCCAAAGGCUGCAACCACUCUACGUGUCCCUCAAUAAGUGAACGGCUGAAAAGCACUGGUGUGUGCACCCCAUGGAGUUCUGCUCAGCAGUGAAAAGAAAGGAACUAUUGCUACACACAACAACAGGCAUGCAUCUAGAGACAGUGCUGAGUGAAGGAAGCCAGGCUCAGAGGGUUACAGGCUGUAGAUCCCAUUUAGAACAUUCUGGAAAAGGUAAAAAUAGCUAGUGGCCAAGGGCUAAGCAUGGGGAUGAGGGACUUCCCUACAAAGUGGGAGGAA